rnacentral:rRNA from 1 species
GACGAACGCUGGCGGCGUGCCUAAUACAUGCAAGUCGAACGCACUCUCGUUUAGAUUGAAGGAGCUUGCUCCUGAUUGAUAAACAUUUGAGUGGGUGGCGGACGGGUGAGUAACACGUGGGUAACCUGCCCUAAAGUGGGGAUAACAUUUGGAAACAGAUGCUAAUACCGCAUAAAACCUAACACCGCAUGGUGUAGGGGUUGAAAGAUGGUUUCGGCUAUCACUUUAGGAUGGACCCGCGGUGCAUUAGUUAGUUGGUGAGGUAAAGGCUCACCAAGACCGUGAUGCAUAGCCGACCUGAGAGGGUAAUCGGCCACACUGGGACUGAGACACGGCCCAGACUCCUACGGGAGGCAGCAGUAGGGAAUCUUCCACAAUGGACGAAAGUCUGAUGGAGCAACGCCGCGUGAGUGAAGAAGGUUUUCGGAUCGUAAAACUCUGUUGUUGGAGAAGAAUGUAUCUAGAUAGUAACUGAUCAGGUAGUGACGGUAU